rnacentral:rRNA from 1 species
GUCGGGAGAAUCUCUCUCGGUUUCGCAGCUAACGCAUUAAGCACUCCGCCUGGGGAGUACGGUCGCAAGAUUAAAACUCAAAGGAAUUGACGGGGGCUCGCACAAGCGGUGGAGCAUGCGGUUUAAUUCGAUGUUACGCGAAAAACCUUACCAACCCUUGACAUGGUGGUCGCGGAUCGCAGAGAUGCUUUCCUUCAGUUCGGCUGGACCACACACAGGUGUUGCAUGGCUGUCGUCAGCUCGUGUCGUGAGAUGUUGGGUUAAGUCCCG